UAGCUCACCUGGCCCGAAGGGCCAAGUGAGCUAUUCCCAUCACUUUGCGUCCGGCGUCCGUCGUCGUCGUCGUCGUCCGUCGUCCGUCGUCGUCCGUCGUCGUCCGUCGUCGUUAACUUUUACAAAAAUCUUCUCCUCUGAAACUACUGGGCCAAAUCAAACCAAACUUGGCCACAAUCAUCAUUGGGGUAUCUAGUUUAAAAAAUGUGUGGCGUGACCCGGUCAACCAACCAAGAUGGCCGCCACGGCUAAAAAUAGAACAUAGGGGUAAAAUGCAGUUUUUGGCUUAUAACUCAGAAACCAAAGCAUUUAGAGCAAAUCUGACAUGGGGUAAAAAUGUUUAUCAGGUCAAGAUCUAUCUGCCCUGAAAUUUUCAGAUGAAUCAGUCAAUCGGUUGUUGGGUUGCUGCCCCUGAAUUGGUAAUUUUGAGGAAAUUUUGCUGUUUUUGGUUAUUAUCUUGAAUAUUAUUAUAGAUAGAGAUAAACUGUAAACAGCAAUAAUGUUCAGCAAAGUAAGAUCUACAAAUAAGUCAACAUGACCAAAAUGGUCAGUUGACCCGUUUAGGAGUUAUUGCCCUUUAUAGUCAAUUUUUAACCAUUUUUCGUAAAUUAAAGUAAUCUUUUACAAAAAUCUUCUCCUCUGAAACUACUGGGCCAAAUUAAUUCAAACUUGGCCACAAUCAUCUUUGGGGUAUCUAGUUUAAAAAAUGUGUGGCGUGACCUGGUCAACCAACCAAGAUGGCCGCCACCGCUAAAAAUAGAACAUAGGGGUAAAAUGCAGUUUUUGGCUUAUAACUCAAAAACCAAAGCAUUUUGAGGAAAUCUGACAUGGGAUAAAAAUGUUUAUCAGGUCAAGAUCUAUCUGCCCUGAAAUUUUCAGAUGAAUCGGUCAAUCGGUUGUUGGGUUGCUGCCCCUGAAUUGGUAAUUUUGAGGAAAUUUUGCUGUUUUUGGUUAUUAUCUUGAAUAUUAUUAUAGAUAGAGAUAAAUUGUAAACAGCAAUAAUGUUCAGCAAAGUAAGAUCUACAAAUAAGUCAACAUGACCAAAAUGGUCAGUUGACCCCUUUAGGAGUUAUUGCCCUUUAUAGUCAAUCUUUAACCAUUUUUCAUAAAUCUAAGUAAUCUUUUACAAAAUCUCCACUGAAACUACUAGGCCACAAUCAUCUUUGGGGUAUCUAGUUUGAAAAAUGUGUCCGAUGACCUGGCCAUUCAACCAAGAUGGCCGCCACGGCUAAAAAUAGAACAUAGGGGUAAAAUGCAGUUUUUGGCUUAUAACUAUGAAACCAAAGCAUCUAGAGCAAAUCUGACAAGAAGUUAAAUUGUUAAUCAAGUCAAUAUCUAUCUGCCCUGAAUUUUUCAGAUGAAUUGGACAACUGGUUGUUGGGUUGCUGCCCUCCAAUUGGUAAUUUUUAAAGAAGUUUUGCCGUUUUUGGUUAUCUUGAAUACUAUUAUAGAUAGCGAUAAACUGUAAACAGCAAUAAUGUUCAGCAAAGUAAGAUCUACAAAUAAGUCAACAUGACCUAAAUGGUCAAUUGACCCCUUAAGGAGUUAUUGCCCUUUAUAGUCAAUUUUUAACAAUUUUCAUUAAUUUGGUAAAUUUAUGUAAAUUUUUACCAAAUAUAGUCUUCUGUUACUAAUGGGCAAAGUUCAUUAUAGAUAUAAUUGUAAGAAGCAAAAUCGUUCAGUAAAGUAAGAACUUCAAACACAUCACCAUCACCAAAAUACAAUUUUGUCAUGAAUCCAUUUGUGUCCUUUGUUUAAUAUGCACAUAGACCAAGGUGAGCGACACAGGCUCUUUAGAGCCUCUAGUUUCUUUCUCGAUAGAAGGUUAUUUUUGAAGAAAUAAAUGCCACAGAAUUGUUUAUUUGAUUAUAAGCUGAAAAUUUUAUUAAAGUUUGUAAAGAUGAAAUACAUAUUAAACCAGUCUGCAGUGAAAGGGUAACAUAUUAUAUCAGUCUGCAGUGUGAGUGAUGUAUGUUAAACUAGUCUGGAGUGGUAGGUUAGUUAGUUAAUCUAGUUAUGUAAACCAGUUUAGAGUGGUAGUUUGUUAGAAUAUUCUACAGUGGUGGGAUAGCUUGUUAAACCACUCUGCAGUGGUAGCAUAGUUUGUUAAACCAGUUUGGAGUGGUAGUUUAGUGUGUUAGAAAGUCUGCAGUGGUGGGAUAGCUUGUUAAACCAGUCUGCAGUGGUAGCAUGUUAAACCAGUCUACAGUGGUAGCAUUGUUUGUUAAACCAGUCUGCAGUGGUAGCAUAGUUUGUUAAACCAGUCUGCAGUGGUAGCAUAGUUUGUUAAACCAGUUUGGAGUGGUAGUUUAGUGUGUUAGAAUAGUCUGCAGUGGUAGUAAUAUAGAUUUUCAAACCAGUCUGGAGUGGUAGUUUAGGUCGUUAAACCAGUUUGUUGUGAUAGUGAACUUGCCUAACCAGGAUACAAUGUAAGUGCUUUAUGUUAAAUAGUCUGCAAUGGUAAAUGAAGUAUGUAAAGUAUUAUAGAAUGGUAGCGGAACAAGUUAAAAAAAGAUGUAUGUGGUGGUUAUUUGGUAAUGAACUAUAAUGUUCCAGUCUGCAGUGCAUGUAUGUAAGGUAAACAAGUCUUGGACGAGAGUGUGGUACAAUGUGCAGUGGAAGAUAAGUGUGUUAAAUUGAUGUAAAUGCUGUAUAAUCUAUCGUUCUGUUUAAUAAAAAGGUUAGCAGCAUGUGUGUAUGAUCAGUUAAGAGUUAGAAUAAGAAAAUAACUUAAAAAUAAAUUUGGCAGUCUUUAGUAAAUUACUUAAUUCUGACACAUAACAAACUCAUUUAUAUGCACCCGUGUUUGAGUAUAAAAAAAGUGAGGAGUAAAUGGUUAAUGGUACAUGUAAUUCAUACGAAAAUAUGUUAAUACUCCAAUAAAUUAGACAGAAAUAUUACAUUAAAAUUGAACAAUAAUAGUUUAAACCAGAUCAUAACCUUUAAAUUUAAUAUUUGUCAACUAAAUGGAAUUUGCACAGAGGCUGACCUGGAUGGUAAUAUUCAAUAUUUGUCAUAACCUUUUUGGUGGCAAUGAGCCUUUAACCAUCCCAGCGAAUAGUUGUGUUGGCCAUGAAAAUAUGAAAGCAGUUUUAAGUAUUAUAAGAAGACCCAAAAAAAUGCAGAAUAUAUUAUAACACAUAUGCAUACUGCCUGAACCUUUCAGUUGUGAAAAAGAUGAAUCAUGUUUGCUUGUUUUUGUAUUUUUUGUAAAUUUUUUUAGAUUUUGACUGUUAUUUAAAUGUAUUAUACUUGUAAAUAUUGUAUAUAUUAAAUUAUAUUAUUGCACAGUAUUAUAGAUUAAUUUUUAUAUAACAUAUUUAUUAAUUUAAUCAAAACAAAUUGUGAUAAUCCUUUUUAUGCAUUUUAUACUGACUUGUUAUGCAAUUUGCUGAAUUAUUUAUAUUAUGUGAAUUUGUGUUCGUCAUGAUCAUGUAUUUUGUAAAUUGUUACCGUCUCAGGAAGAAAUGCCUGCCCCAUUCAGAGUUCCAAAUAAAAAAAAUAUCUAUGAAUACUCAAUCAAAAUGGUAAAAUGUGAGAUUUUAAACAUAACGGUGCCAUGGUUACCCCUACUAGUCAAUUAACUCUUGCCAAGAAUUUUUAAGUUUCCCGCAGAUGAAUAGAAACACUUUUAAAUAAAUGCUCUGAAUCCUGAACUUUUUACAAAAUACAUAAAAUCACUUGGUGCACAUUGUUUUGCUGUGGUUUGAGGUGCAAUAAUACACAAUUGUGAAUUUUAUAUGUGUUUUAUCAACAUCCCUGUUUCAGUAUUAUGUUUUUUACUUGUGUGUGUUUUAAAUGAUUUUAUCUAAUAUAUUUAUACAUUUUGAUAAUUUUAAUAUAUUAUAAAACAUUAUUUAUUUUAUACUAUCAUUCCUGUGGUGUUCAUUUUACUGGUAGAUUUAGCUGUAUUGAAAGAGUGGAUUUUUUAGAAGAGAUUUUAUUUUAUUGUAUAUUUUUUAUUGGAAUGUUAUAAAAAUAAGCAAAACAAAUAUUUAAAAAUUAUUUGUGUUUUAACUUUGAUCUUAAGGAAGACUGAAAGCUGUAAAUUCAGUGAACUUUUUUUUUCUUCAGAUUUCUUAAAUUUCAUUUUUGGAUUGUUACUUUAUAAUGUUGUUUACUUCAAUACAGAGGAAGGAUUGUAUUUUUUUUUUUAAAUAAUAUUUAAUUUUAUUUUCAUAAAAAAUCAUUGAGGUUUUGUAAGUUUACAUUUUAACUGAUUUUGAGUGUUCAAUGUCUUGUUUUGAAAUAAAAUUGUUUUUACUGUUUUUAAA